rnacentral:tRNA from 1 species
ACGAAAGAUUGAUGGCCGGUAAGAAUCCACAACAAGUUGUUCUUCUUGAAGAUAUAUCUGAGGGUCUGUAGCUCAGUUGGUUAGAGCACACGCUUGAUAAGCGUGGGGUCACAAGUUCAAGUCUUGUCAGACCCACCAAAUCUGAUCGCUAAAGCUGAAAGAUUUAAAGAUAUAGAAUUCACAAUGAUAAGCUGGGGACUUAGCUUAGUUGGUAGAGCGCCUGCUUUGCACGCAGGAGGUCAGGAGUUCGACUCUCCUAGUCUCCACCACGUACUUUACGGAGUACGGGCUAAAGAUUACAGAAUUUAGUGAAUAAGAAGAUCGAAUGAUCUUGGUUUAUUAAGUUCUGUGAUUUAUCACAGUUUAAUGUAGCUGACGAGGUUACAUUAAUUCAUUAACAGAUUAGUAGAAUUGAGUCUGAAAUAAAUUGUUCAAAACUCGAUUAAUAUGAUUUUAACGGUAAUACGCAAGUGUUGCAGUUAGAUGAAAGAUUAAUGCGAGAACUAGCGAUUAACUGAAUCAAGCGUUUUGGUAUAUGAAUUAGAUUGAAGCUGUACGGUGCUUAAGUGCACAGUGCGUCAAACUGAAAUGUUGAAGUUACUACUUGUAGGUAACGUCGACUGUUUGGGGUUGUAU